CCUACGGGUGGCUGCAGUGAGGAAUAUUGGUCAAUGGACGAGAGUCUGAACCAGCCAAGUAGCGUUAAGGAUGACUGCCCUAUGGGUUGUAAACUUCUUUUAUAUGGGAAUAAAAUGUUCCACGUGUGGGAUUUUGUAUGUACCAUAUGAAUAAGGAUCGGCUAACUCCGUGCCAGCAGCCGCGGUAAUACGGAGGAUCCGAGCGUUAUCCGGAUUUAUUGGGUUUAAAGGGAGCGUAGAUGGGUUGUUAAGUCAGUUGUGAAUGUUUGCGGCUCAACCGUAAAAUUCCAAUUGAUACUGGCAGUUGUGGAGACAGUGGAGGGAGGCGAAAUUCGGGUGGGAUGGUGAAAAU
rnacentral:rRNA from 1 species